rnacentral:misc_RNA from 1 species
AACGCACCUUGCACCCCUUGGUAUUCCGAGGAGUAUGCCUGUUUGAGUGUCAUGGAAAUCUCACACCGUGUUUUGUUACUGGCUUGUUUAAUCAUGUCUGGAAGCAAACACAUGUGUGGAUCGUGGAGGCUUGUGCUGGGGAAAAAUGAUGAAACCAUGUCAUCGUUCUCUUCUUCAGCUCCUCUGAAAAUCAUUAGCACCGAUCUUUAUGUAGUGCUGCCAUUCUCAGUGUGAUAAUCGUUGUCUGCGCUGUGGGUGGUGCCGCUGUCUUGUGUGCUUCUAAUCGUCUCUACGUGUUGGGGACAAAACCUUUUCUCUUGACAUUUGACCUCAAAUCAGGUAGGACUACCCGCUGAACUUAA